UACAGGGGGGGGCAAGCGUUGUUCGGAAUUACUGGGCGUAAAGGGCUCGUAGGCGGCCAACUAAGUCAGACGUGAAAUCCCUCGGCUUAACCGGGGAACUGCGUCUGAUACUGGAUGGCUUGAGUUUGGGAGAGGGAUGCGGAAUUCCAGGUGUAGCGGUGAAAUGCGUAGAUAUCUGGAGGAACACCGGUGGCGAAGGCGGCAUCCUGGACCAACACUGACGCUGAGUGAGCGAAAGCCAGGGGAGCAAACGGG
rnacentral:rRNA from 1 species